UAAAGAUUGUUCCAGUUGCG
rnacentral:siRNA from 1 species